GGGCUCGUAGCUCAGACUGGGAGAGCACACGACUGAAGAUCGUGGUGUCCCGGGUUCAAAUCCCGGCGAGCCCA
rnacentral:tRNA from 1 species